GACGUUAGCGACAGAAGAAGCACCGGCUAACUCCGUGCCAGCAGCCGCGGUAAUACGGAGGGUGCGAGCGUUAAUCGGAAUUACUGGGCGUAAAGCGCAUGCAGGUGGUUUGUUAAGUCAGAUGUGAAAGCCCGGGGCUCAACCUCGGAAUAGCAUUUGAAACUGGCAGACUAGAGUACUGUAGAGGGGGGUAGGAAUUUCAGGUGUAGCGGUGAAAUGCGUAGAGAUCUGAAGGAAUACCGGUGGCGAAGGCGGCCCCCUCGGACAGAUACUGACACUCAGAUGCGAAAGCGUGGGGAGCAAACAGGAUUAGAUACCCUGGUAG
rnacentral:rRNA from 1 species